UACGGGGGGGGCAAGCGUUGUUCGGAAUUACUGGGCGUAAAGGGCUCGUAGGCGGCCAACUAAGUCAGACGUGAAAUCCCUCGGCUUAACCGGGGAACUGCGUCUGAUACUGGAUGGCUAGAGAUUGGGAGAGGGAUGCGGAAUUCCAGGUGUAGCGGUGAAAUGCGUAGAUAUCAGGAAGAACACCUAUGGCGAAGGCAGCUCUCUGGGACGGUACUGACGCUGAGACGCGAAAGCGUGGGGAGCGAACAGG
rnacentral:rRNA from 1 species